rnacentral:rRNA from 1 species
UUAGAUUGAACGCUGGCGGCAGGCCUAACACAUGCAAGUCGAGCGGUAGCACAGAGAGCUUGCUCUCGGGUGACGAGCGGCGGACGGGUGAGUAAUGUCUGGGAAACUGCCUGAUGGAGGGGGAUAACUACUGGAAACGGUAGCUAAUACCGCAUAACGUCGCAAGACCAAAGUGGGGGACCUUCGGGCCUCAUGCCAUCAGAUGUGCCCAGAUGGGAUUAGCUAGUAGGUGGGGUAACGGCUCACCUAGGCGACGAUCCCUAGCUGGUCUGAGAGGAUGACCAGCCACACUGGAACUGAGACACGGUCCAGACUCCUACGGGAGGCAGCAGUGGGGAAUAUUGCACAAUGGGCGCAAGCCUGAUGCAGCCAUGCCGCGUGUAUGAAGAAGGCCUUCGGGUUGUAAAGUACUUUCAGCGGGGAGGAAGGCGAUAAGGUUAAUAACCUUGUCGAUUGACGUUACCCGCAGAAGAAGCACCGGCUAACUCCGUGCCAGCAGCCGCGGUAAUACGGAGGGUGCAAGCGUUAAUCGGAAUUACUGGGCGUAAAGCGCACGCAGGCGGUCUGUCAAGUCGGAUGUGAAAUCCCCGGGCUCAACCUGGGAACUGCAUUCGAAACUGGCAGGCUAGAGUCUUGUAGAGGGGGGUAGAAUUCCAGGUGUAGCGGUGAAAUGCGUAGAGAUCUGGAGGAAUACCGGUGGCGAAGGCGGCCCCCUGGACAAAGACUGACGCUCAGGUGCGAAAGCGUGGGGAGCAAACAGGAUUAGAUACCCUGGUAGUCCACGCCGUAAACGAUGUCGAUUUGGAGGUUGUGCCCUUGAGGCGUGGCUUCCGGAGCUAACGCGUUAAAUCGACCGCCUGGGGAGUACGGCCGCAAGGUUAAAACUCAAAUGAAUUGACGGGGGCCCGCACAAGCGGUGGAGCAUGUGGUUUAAUUCGAUGCAACGCGAAGAACCUUACCUGGUCUUGACAUCCACAGAACUUAGCAGAGAUGCUUUGGUGCCUUCGGGAACUGUGAGACAGGUGCUGCAUGGCUGUCGUCAGCUCGUGUUGUGAAAUGUUGGGUUAAGUCCCGCAACGAGCGCAACCCUUAUCCUUUGUUGCCAGCGGUUAGGCCGGGAACUCAAAGGAGACUGCCAGUGAUAAACUGGAGGAAGGUGGGGAUGACGUCAAGUCAUCAUGGCCCUUACGACCAGGGCUACACACGUGCUACAAUGGCAUAUACAAAGAGAAGCGACCUCGCGAGAGCAAGCGGACCUCAUAAAGUAUGUCGUAGUCCGGAUUGGAGUCUGCAACUCGACUCCAUGAAGUCGGAAUCGCUAGUAAUCGUAGAUCAGAAUGAUACGGUGAAUACGUUCCCGGGCCUUGUACACACCGCCCGUCACACCAUGGGAGUGGGUUGCAAAAGAAGUAGGUAGCUUAACCUUCGGGAGGGCGCUUACCACUUUGU